UACGUAGGGGGCGAGCGUUGUCCGGAAUUACUGGGCGUAAAGAGCGCGUAGGCGGCUCGAUAAGUUCUGUGUGAAAGCCCCCGGCUCAACUGGGGAGGGUCGCGGAAAACUGUCGGGCUGGAGUGUCGGAGAGGGAAGUGGAAGUCCCGGAGUAGGGGUGAAAUCCGUAGAGACCGGGCCGAACACCAGUGGCGAAGGCGACUUCCUGGCCGCACGGACUGACGCUGAGCGCGAAAGCGUGGGGAGCGAACGGGAUUAGAACCCGU
rnacentral:rRNA from 1 species